ACGCACGCUGGCGGCGUGCUUAACCCCUGCAAGUCGAACGGAAAGGCCCUGCUUUUGUGGGGUGCUCGAGUGGCGAACGGGUGAGUAACACGUGAGUAACCUGCCCUUGUCUUUGGGAUAACUUCAGGAAACUGGGGCUAAUACCGGAUAGGAGCUCCUGCUGCAUGGUGGGGGUUGGAAAGUUUCGGCGGUUGGGGAUGGACUCGCGGCUUAUCAGCUUGUUGGUGGGGUAGUGGCUUACCAAGGCUUUGACGGGUAGCCGGCCUGAGAGGGUGACCGGCCACAUUGGGACUGAGAUACGGCCCAGACUCCUACGGGAGGCAGCAGUGGGGAAUAUUGCACAAUGGGCGGAAGCCUGAUGCAGCAACGCCGCGUGCGGGAUGACGGCCUUCGGGUUGUAAACCGCUUUCGCCUGUGACGAAGCGUGAGUGACGGUAAUGGGUAAAGAAGCACCGGCUAACUACGUG
rnacentral:rRNA from 1 species